UGAAUUUCAUUUCUUUUUAUUCAUGAUCUAAUUUCUAUUUUGAAGAUUGUCAUCUUUUCCAAACGAAAAUGAAAAAAAAAACUAUCCAUAAGAAGAUACGAUUUAGUAACGAAACUACGUGAUUAUCUCCGGAUGAAGAGACACCCGAAAUGUUCAAUGGAAAUAAAAUAUAUUCAUAAGAGUUACCCAUUCACAAUGCUUUGAACCAUAUUCGAUUGUCGUUGUUUUUCAUCAUUAUUCGUAUCGACACUGGCAUCGACACAAACGUUGGCACAUCUAUAUACUCCAAUUACUAAUGGUCACAUGAAAAUAAAAACUGGAUUGGCUCUCGCGAAGAGGAAUAUAACUCAAAUUGACCGGUGUAGAAUCAAAAAAAAAAAAAUAGAGUUAUUAGUUCCACCAAGAACACUCGUGUUUAACUUGUUUCUAAUUAUUUUUCUGAUUUUUUGGUUCUUUAUAAAAUGUGUUUCUCUUUUUUUUUUCUCCAUUCAAAUAUAUUGACCUUUUUGAUUCAAUCAUUAAUUGACAAUAAUUUCGGAAACAUUUUGUUAAAAUCUAUUUAUUUAUAAAAAUGUUGGCAAAAU